rnacentral:lncRNA from 1 species
UUUUUUGUUUUUGUUUUUGUUUUUGUUUUUUGCCAUGUGUGAUUAGAGAGUUUGCUUCAAUGCUGACAGUCUUUAGAGAAGUAUUUGAUUAUGUUUUCUCAGAUCUUGUAUUUUGUUUCUCAAGCCUCCAUUUCUGUCUGUUCAUUUUGGAAGUAGUACAUUUAAGAUUUUCAACAAUUGAGUAUCUUUGGAAUAUUCUCUGGUUCCCUUCUUAUUCUUACAAAAAUAUAUUCAGUAUAGUUGAUAGUGUUUCUUUCAAAUUGUUCAUUUUUCUAACUCAGGAUUUAGAACCACAUGUCUAAUUUUUCUUGACCAGUCUCCAUUUCUUGUCAUCAAGCUUCUGGUCUCCUAUUACCUUUUAGGUCUAAUUGGCUAUUCUAAUAAAGAGCUUCUAACAGAUUUUUUUUCUAGUAUGUCUUAUCUUUUGACUGCAUGCUAGUAGCAGACUGUUAGCUGUUUUGAUCUUUUAUAAUAUUCUACACUGCAUGCUUACUACUCCUCUUUUGCUGAAAGUGGUGCCCACAUACAGCGCAGUAAAAUGAUGUAGUACCCAACCAACAUGGACAUAGCAAAAAUUUGAAGGAAAGAGACACCUCUGGACCUGAGCAAUGGUCACUGGACCCAGUCUCCAAAAAGCCCUGAGUUGAAACAGAUCUAGUUGUGUGCAUGAAGCAGGAAGGAUGGAAGAGACGUGACUGCUGAAGCUUGAUCUACAUUGAGGUAGAGAUGGCUUCCUGUCGCAAGUAGCCUCUCAACUGCCAGCUGAUGGAGAAACUCUAGGUCUGCUCUUCUGGUUCACCAGGGCAGCUUUACCACAUCCACUCGUUGGCAUUGCAGUUUGACCCCUUCAGGGACCCACAGUUGUCAGAUAUUACUUCUCUGCAGAACAAUUACACCAACAUAGAAACAAGCUCCUAGGAAAGAGCUGUCACCAUCACCUACUCAGAGACUGUUCACUGGAAGGACCCAUGAGCCACUCAGUUCGUUCUGAGUUUUUAUGAGAAGGCCUCUGACUGCAGGGCCCCCUGGAUGUUUCCAUCUUUGCCAGGCCUACUUUUCUCUUUCUCUUUCUUAGAAUCAGAGUUUGGAGCACACAGCAUAGUGAAAAGUCAUCCUAUCCUUACAAGGCAAGACAGAGAGGCCUUUCCUAGCAGGAGGGAGAGAGCAGAUGGAAAGUUCAUCUUCUUCCUGCGGCAGAUAGACUCUCUGACACCUGGAGGGAUUUGACAUUCCUCCUAGCAACCAGCUUAACAGGAAAGGCAUACAUACGUCCCUCCCCCCCUCCUCACCUCGCUUCCUUCUCUCCCUGUUUCUGGGCUCUGUACCUUCAGAACCUAUUUUAAUUAUGCUAUGAUUUCUGCCUCCCCUCUUCUCUGUUGGAAAUGAAACGACCUGGAAACCACUUACCUUUUACUGAAUGAAGUAAAAGAGCUAAAAACUGCCCAUAAAAAUGAAAGCAUAAAUGAGGUACGAUACUAAUAGUAAUGAAAAGAUACUGAAUUAAAAACUGACAGAGAAAAAAAAUAAAAAAUAAAAACUGACAGAGAGAAAAAAAGGGAAAAAGAGAGGCAAGAGAGAAACAAAACAAUAACCUAGAUGACCUAUUUUUAGAAAAGCAACAUCAGAGAAAAUAAAUAUUAUUUAUAUUCGUGUAGAUUUCUAUGGAAUCAAAUUUGUAGAGAGAUCUUUUCUGAUUCUUUCUGAAUAAUCAGAGCUGUACAUACAAUUAAGAGGACAUUCAGGACAGCCCGGGUGGCUCAGCGGUUUAGCGCCACCUUCGGCCCAAGGCGUGAUCUUGGAGACCUGGGAUUGAGUCCCACAUCGGGCUCCCUGCAUGGAGCCUGCUUCUCCCUCUGCCUGUGUCUCUGCCUCUCUGUCUCUGUGUGUCUCUCAUGAAUAAAUAAAAAUUUUUUUUUUUUUUUAAAAGAGGACAUUCAAAGAAGUGUAACACCAUGGCAGGUGCUGAACCCACCUGCAGAGGGUUGCCCAUCUCCUCCAAACUAUGAAGAGUUUUUGGUUCAACUUUAAUAUAAUCAAGACAGAAUGAUCAGAGAGAAAGAGCAAGCAGGCAGUUCACUGGCGGAACAUGUGUGAGUUCUUACCAUUCACUCUCUAAAAUCACAACUGUCUUAGAUAAAAAAGAACAAAACCACUCUGUUAAAGAGAAGCUUGGUGCUAUAGAGAGUUUAAAAUGUACUCCAGAACUGUCUCCACCAUUCUAAAUCCUUCCCAGUGUUGUACAGCAAAGGAUCCCAAUCCUAAGAAACAUUAAAUCAAAUUUCUGUAAUGGAAAAUAUAAAAUAUGAAAAUGUAUUAUGAAGCGACAGUAAUUAAAUCAGAACUGGUUGCAGGAAUACAUGAACGGACCAAUGAGGCAGACAUCAAGUCCAGGGAUAGAUUCAAAUGCAUAAAGUAAUCUAAUGUAAAAUAAAGGUAACAUGGCAAACCAGUGGGGAAAAAUUGUUCAUGUGAUAAUUGGUAUUGAGAUAAUUGGCUGGUCACUGGGAAAUAAAUAAGCUUAUUCCCUACUUCAGUUCUUAUACUAAGUAAAUUAGAGAUGGAUAUAAGAUUUCUGUGUAUGCUAAAUAUAUUGAAAAAAGUUUUCAGAAUAUCUGCUGGAACCGAUCAUGCCACUAAUCAAAUAAAGAUGCAGAAAUGUAAAACAGACCUACUAAAAACAAAACAAAACAGAAAACCAGACCUACUUUUCCAAAGCAUAUUUAUUUUUAAGAGAAUUUUAUUUUUAAGGAAUUCUGCAUGUAUUCUCUGAAGGAGCAUUACUAUGGGACGUGGCUUAUCAAAUGAUGAACUCAACCUCAGAUUCCAUAUAGGAGCCUUUCAUGUUUAAAAAAUAAGUCAACUAGUCCUUUUGGCCUCAUGAAAACUAAACCCUACCCAAAGCAUCAGGAAAGGGUAGUUCUUUGCAUAGGGGGUCACAGUUAAGGUUGAGCCAAUUAUGACAUCCAUCAACACAAGGUAACAUUAGUAGAGUACACAUGCUUGGAGACUUUAUGAUUUAACCCGUUUACUGAACCAACAGAUAUGGUUUAUACUGGGAAUUUUGAUUUUGAUCAAGAUGAACUAUUUUAUUCAACAGGCUUAUUCAACACCAGUCACAUGUGUAACAUCUGUACUUCCGUGUUUCAGAUAUUGCUAAUUAGGGUUAUCUGGCUAACUAAGUCAGCGGACCAUGUGACACUUGAUUUCAGGGUUAUGAGUUCAAGCCCCACGUUGGGUGCACAGAUGGCUUAAAAAAUAAAAUCUUUUAAAAAUUAUUAAUAAUAGUUUGAUAAUGAUAUCUUAGAUAUGACACCCAAAGGCCAGGCAACAAAAGAAAAAAGACUUCAUGAGAAUUUAAAAGUUUUGUACAUCAACAGAUAAAAAAGUCGACCCACAGAGUGAGAGAAAAUAUUUGCAAAUCAUGUAUCUAAUAAGGGAUUAACAACCAGAAUAUAGAGAGAACUCCUAAAAGUCAGCAACAAAAAAACAAAGAACCCAAUUCAAAGAUGAGUAAAGGAGUGAAAAGACAUUUCUCCAAAGAAGACACAUAAAUGGCCAGUUAGCACAGGAAAAGAUGCUCCACAUGACUCAUCAUUGGGGAAAAGCAAAUCAAACUACAAUGAGGUACCAUCUCAUACCCAUUAGGAUGGAUACCAUAAGAAAAAGGAAAAAAAAAAACAAAAAUAAAAACAAAAUAAUAAGUGUUGGUAGGAAUAUGGAGAAGCUGGAUCUCUUGUUCACUGUUGGUGAGAAUGUAAAACAGUAGACCUGCUGUGCAAAACAGUAUGGUAGAUCCCUCCAAAAUUGAAAAUAGAACAAUCAUAUGCAUCUGCACACCUACUUUCACAGCAGCAUUAUUCACAAGAGCUAAAACAUGGGAGUCAUCCAAGGGUCAAUCAAAAGAUAAGUAGGUGAACAAAGUGAUUGUACAUAUGAUGGAAUAUUAUUCAACCAUAGAAAGUAAGAAAACGCUGACAUUUGCUAUCACAUGACUGAAGCUGAGGACAAAAACCACUCACAAAAGGCAAAUUCUAUAUGAUUCUACUUACUUGAGGAAUUUAGCAUAGUCAAAAUCAGAGAUAGAAGGUAGAAUGGUGGUUGCCAGGGGUAGAGGAGGAGAGGGAAGAAUAGGGAGUUCUUAUUUAUCAGGUACAGAGUUUCAGUUUUACAGAUUGAAAGCAUUCUAGAGAUGGGUGGUGGUGAUGAUUGCACAACAAGAUGAACGUACUAGUGACCACUGAACUGUAUACACUUGAAAGUGGUUAAGUACAUUUUAUGCAAUGUCUAUUUUACCACAAUAAAAAUAUUGGAGAAAAUUACUAAUAAGAAAAAUAUCAACAGUCCACAAUCAAUCAUCCCACUUACCUGAGGGAAGAUUAACAUGGUUAAGGACUCCAAGUGGUCUGAUGAAAUAUAUAUAAAAGGACAGAAUAAAGGGGAUAAAGACUAAAUAAAUGAGGACAUUGAGGCCCAGGCAAGAUGAAGGCUAGGAAAUGAAUAAAACAAACGAUAAGACUAAUACAAAAAACCCCCCCACAAAUUAAUAGUUGGCAUUUGCUGAGCUCUUAGGAAGCACCUGGCCUGAGUACUUUACUCAUUCACUCAUUUAUUUAUUUAUUUAUUUAAAGAUUUUUUUUUUAAUUUUUAUUUAUUUAUGAUAGUCACAGAGAGAGAGAGAGAGAGGCAGAGACACAGGCAGAGGGAGAAGCAGGCUCCAUGCACCGGGAGCCCGACGUGGGAUUUGAUCCCGGGUCUCCAGGAUCGCGCCCUGGGCCAAAGGCAGGCGCUAAACCACUGCGCCACCCAGGGAUCCCUCAUUCACUCAUUUAAUCUCCCAAGCAAACUCUGAGGUAAGCAGUAUUUUUUUUUUUUUUUGAGGAGUACUAAUUAAUUCAGUAGACUAAGCAGAGAAUACUACCUGCAGAGAGGGAAGAGCAAGUAUAAAAGCAGAAAAAAAAAUAGUAGAAUGUGACCGUACAGAAGAGCUGGAUAUUGUUCCCUGUUCUGUUUUUGGCACAGUAUGAAGGAAGACUUCAAGUUGCACUUAUUUCUAUUUUGUCUUAACUUUCUCUCUUUUUUACUACUAUCUAUCAUCUAUCUAUUAGCUUGUUUGCCCAAUCCCAGGAUACAUGUAUAGUGAUGUCAGAAUGUUAACCUGUACUCUCAUGGGAAAUGACUUUAUUAACUAUAGUCCUGUGCUUCUAUAAAGUUUCUGUCCUGUGGUCCUUAGUAUUGUAGUCUUUACUCAUUAUCUAAGGCACAUAGGCAAAUUUUCCCCAACUCCCUUUAAUGAAAUUGUGUCAUAUAUCUGUAACACCGAUUUUUUUUUAAUUUUCAAAAAUAAAUUUGUACACCACUACCCCCACCCCCAGAUCCUUUUAUCAUCCCAUUUUACAGAUGAGGAACAGACCCAGAGAGGCUGAGCAACUGGCCCAACUUCAUAGCUAACAUGGUGGAGGUGGGAUUGAACCAAAGCAUUGAUCUAGAGUCUACAUUCUCAGUCGCUGCAUUAAGCACAUUAAGUGAAUACAUGUGCUAUCAACAUGGACAGAGGCGGGCCACAAAUCUGACUCUGUCUUCUAAUAGCCAAAGAGAAAGUGUGAUCAGAACUUACUUUAAGGGAUGCCUCUGUGGCUCAAUGGAUGAGUGUCUGCCUUUGGCUUAGGUCGUGAUCCCUGGGUCCUGGGAUCCAGUCCCUCAUUGGGCUCCUCACCGGGAGCCUGCUUCUCCCUCUGCCUAUGUCUCUGCCUCUCUCUCUGUGUCUCUCAUGAAUAAAUAAAUAAAAUCUUAAAAAAAAAAAAAAAAA